ensembl:lncRNA LINC01507 long intergenic non-protein coding RNA 1507
CAUAGGAGCUGACUGAGUUGGCUUGGCUGUACAUAGGAGGAAGACCCUGAUCCCUGGUGCUCAACACAGAAAUGCUUCAAUGAUACCCUGAGAUUGUUUUACCUUGCAACACUCUCUGGAAAAUUGCUGCUCCAGGAAUGCGAUGAAAAGAUCUGUAAGAGAGCACAGCCCCUGUUGAUUGACUUGUCUUGAUCAAACCAGAGCUUCUGGCUGGGAUACUGGUAUCUUGAGUGAGUCACAGCAGGAGAUACGUGCUGGAGCUGAAGAGGUUGGAGAGGCAGCAGAAAAGGUAGGAGACAGCAAGAGAAGGAGAGCAGCCUACAGAUGAGAAGACAAGUAAUUUACCCUAAAGUUCUAGGACUGCUGUUGGUCAAAGGAAAAAUCCUUCUGAGAGAUUUUGAUUUUAGGUUUUGAUUCUACUUCUGUUUCUAUGAAUGCUAGAGAGA